rnacentral:rRNA from 1 species
UACGUAGGGGGCUAGCGUUGUUCGGAUUUAUUGGGCGUAAAGAGCGUGUAGGCGGCCGAGUAAGUCCGGUGUGAAAACUCGAGGCUUAACCUCGAGAUGUCAUCGGAAACUAUUCGGCUAGAGUCCGGAAGAGGAGAGUGGAAUUCCUGGUGUAGCGGUGAAAUGCGCAGAUAUCAGGAAGAACACCUAUGGCGAAAGCAGCUCUCUGGGACGGUACUGACGCUGAGACGCGAAAGCGUGGGGAGCGAACAGG